CCAAGCAGAGAGCCUGAUGUAGGGCUUGAUCCCAGGACCCUGAGAUGAUGACCUGAGCCAAAGUCAGACACUUAACCAACUGAGCCACCCAGGUCUGAACUCUAAAUUCAGGAGUACCCCUGAGUUUGGUCCUGGGACCUCUCUGAGGUUUCACGAUUUAUACUCAUUUUGCUAAUUUGGAUGGGCCCGGGAGGUAAUCUGCAGGAUCUAGCCUCCUCCUAUCCAUUUCUAUAUUCAAAACUACAAUGGAUUGGUGAGUUUUCUAUGCCUCUGGAUAAAGAAAAUGACCAUAUUUGGUUGUGAGGUCAUUGUGGAUAUUAACUUUCAGCAAGGAAAAAGAGGUGUGACAUAAAGUUUCCAUUCCCACAAAUGUUUUGAAACUUGUAUGUACAUUUAAUUUUUUAAACACACACAAAA